AGUGGCGACCGGGUGAGUAACACGUGACUAACCUACCUUCGAGUGGGGGAUAACCUCGGGAAACCGGGGCUAAUACCGCAUAACAUCCUUGGAGUGGAAACUCUGGGGAUCAAAGGGGCAAUUCGCUUGAAGAGGGGGUCGCGGCUGAUUAGCUAGUUGGCGGGGUAAUGGCCCACCAAGGCUUUGAUCGGUAGCCGGCCUGAGAGGGCGCACGGCCACACUGGAACUGAAACACGGUCCAGACUCCUACGGGAGGCAGCAGUGGGGAAUUUUGCGCAAUGGGGGAAACCCUGACGCAGCAACGCCGCGUGGAGGAUGAAGUCCCUUGGGACGUAAACUCCUUUCGACCGGGAAGAUUAUGACGGUACCGGUGGAAGAAGCCCCGGCUAACUUCGUGCCAGCAGCCGCGGUAAUACGAGGGGGGCAAGCGUUGUUCGGAAUUAUUGGGCGUAAAGGGCGCGUAGGCGGUGCGGUAAGUCACCUGUGAAAUCUCCGGGCUUAACUCGGAGUCUGCAGGCGAAACUGCCGUGCUGGAGUAUGGGAGAGGUGCGUGGGAUUCCCGGUGUAGCGGUGAAAUGCGUAGAUAUCGGGAGGAACACCUGUGGCGAAAGCGGCGCACUGGACCAUAACUGACGCUGAAGCGCGAAAGCUA
rnacentral:rRNA from 1 species